UGUGACGCAAAAAUUAAAAAGUGGCCAAACUAUAUUUCAAAAAAAAACUCACGCAUCUUUAUCUAAAUAACAAAAUUAAUUAUUAAAAUAUUUUUUCAGCUAGUUUUUGUGGGCGUUGAGUUCACUGGGACAACAAAGAACCUUCUUUCACGUGGAUGUCAUUAUAAGAUUCUUAGGAACAGAUUUUCUCUCGACAAGUGACAAUUUGGCUAUAACAAUUCAGCAUAUCAAACAACUUUUUAAGUUUAGUAACAAACUUUUAUCUUUUAAGUCUGCUUUUUCUUUGACUACCCGAUUAAACACAUUUAUUUACCAAUGCUGAAAUUGCAUAAUUUUCUAUAUGUGCUACAAAGUACCCAAAUAAAGUAUUGGCGUGGAUCAAUCCAGUAGUGAAUUAACUUUGGUGAACAUUGUUCAUUAAGAUUUGAUGGAUCAACUGGUUAGUCGUUGGAAAAACAAAAGACAGAAAGCAAGAUAAGUAUUAGUUGUGUAUAGGAAAUAAGACAAUAUAGAAAUAACAAUAGCUAAUAAAAAAACGAAACAUUUACGUCACGCGGAAAUACUUUUAUAUGAUUUUACAUCAAAAUGACAACUGUAUCAUCAA